ensembl:lncRNA
AUGGGCUGAAUUAUUGCUCAACUACUUUGAGGUACAAGAAUCUGAAGUUCUGAUGUCUAAGAGUGUUUUGCUCCAAAAGAGAAGGGGACAGAGGAGAGAGACAGAGAUGCAUGUGAAAUAUGAAGCUGUGUGUGAGGCUUAAUACGGAUUUAAACCCUAGUUUCACCAGCAAUUUAGAUUUUUAUUUCCAUUGAAAUACUCCUCCAUCAUCUGAAACUCGAAGAAGUUCCAAAGGCAACUGGAAUGAUUGGGCGUCAGUGGGAUAAAGGCACCAAGUGAUCUGGAAGACAUCGAGCUGCUGACACACGGAACAACCUGGGUAAAUCUUGAAUAUACACCAUUACGCUGAGUAAAAAAAGCCACACACAGAGGGAAACACUGUUGGAUUCCAUUUUUUAAAGGACAGUCUGAAAGGCAAAACUAUAGUGGCAAAAUUUAGACCAGUGGUUGCCAGAAUUGGGGAUGAAGGGGCUAACCUGGAUAAAACUGGGGUUAGUGGAACAUUUCUGGAUAAUGAAAAUGCUGUCCUGUUUAUCUUUAUUGUGAUUAUAUCUACAUGGUUGUUUGUAUACAUUCAUCAAAAUGUACAUGAAGAAUGGAGAAUGUUCUAUACAUAAAUUGUGCCUUGACACAUCCAAAAUACCUGACUUAAACAAUAAGCGUUAUCAUACCAAGAGUUAGACUGACAGGCCCAAUACGGUGGGGUUACUGUCUUGCCUCAUUGGAAUAAGACACUAUUAAUGCAGUUAAAACUAGUACUUGGCUUAGGGAAACCGUUUCACAAUUUUGUCUCAAAUCAAGCUUUUAAUCUGUUAAAAAAAAUCCUGUAUGUGUCUAGGUUUUUAAAGUAAACUAUAGUAAUACAUACUAAUAGUUUAAAGAUUGCAUUAUAUAUAUGUAAACCCAUUGUAUGAAUGUCACAAGAUCUUUUGGAAUCUGUGUUAUGCUAUGUAGAGUAUUAUAUAUUCCCUACAGCUUUGUGUGAUCCAUAAUUUAGUCAACAUGCUUUAUGGAAAGUAUUUUUCUGUGUGGAAAAAUCAUUCUAAAUCUGUUUUAUGCCCAGUUUUAUGG